AUCACCUCUCGGCCUUCUGGCUAAGAUCAAAUGUAGCAUCUGUUCUUAUCAGUUUAAUAUAAAUUGUUUAACUAACAUGUACAUGGUAAAUUGUACAUGCACAUGCUGUAGUCUGGGUAGGAUGUGACUAGGUAAAGAGAACAUCUCUGGUACAUGAGAUUGG
ensembl:snRNA U2 U2 spliceosomal RNA